AGCGUUGAAAAUAAACUGAUGAUCCACUGUGGAAGUUUAGAGCCCAGCCUUCUCUCCCUGUCCUCCACCUCCCCGGGAAAGGGAGGAUUGGGCGUCUGGCAGUUUCUCCCACAAGAGUUCAUCUUCGCCUUCCACGGUUGCAGGGAGCGAUGGACGGUAUGGAGUGAACUUAGGGUUGGUUGGAUGUAAAGCCGAGGGAGAAAGAUACACCCUGGAUGAAUCUGUACCUUGGGUGCCAGGCACCAAAAUAUUGAUAGGCCUGGAUGGAUAGAGACCAACUUUAGAAAUGAAAUCACUGUGUGAAGCCAGAAUCAUGAACAGUUAUCACAAACCUUAGAUGUCUGGGCUGCUGGCAUAAAAUCUGAUGUGAGCAUCUCUACUUUUCCUGCUUUCUGGAAACUUCUGGGUUAUCUUCCAUGGGCAUGCCUGAGAGGAAAAUGAACAACAGGGAUUUUGAUAUAUGUUUACUAGAAGCAAUGUAUCCAGUUAAUUACUUACUUAUAUCUUCUUCAUUGUUUCUAAAUCAAUUGUAUUUUAUUUUUGUUACAUGGAUUUGCAUGUGCAUUUAAUUGCUACAUUGUGUUUCCAAAAUAGAAAAUAAAACUGGAGUGCUUUAGAAUGGUC